GUUCGCAGAGAAAAGCUCUUCCUCCAAAAAAACUCGCUAUCUGGGUCCCAAACUUUUCUCCCUGGGCAAAAAGGAUCAGAAACACCUCACUGAGCUUUAGGCCACCGUAACUGACUCAUCAAAGAACGUCUCUCCUUCUCCCCAGAAAAAGCAUGACUUGGAACAGCGAGGCAUUCUGAGACACAAAGACACCCCUCUCUGUGUUGGAAGGAAAGUAGCAGCGACUGUAAUUAACAGAACAGCAGUUGUGGAACUUCCAGGGUUGUAUUUAAAGGGCCAUGCGGGGACUGCGGCUGUGUGGAAAAAUAAGGACGGGAGCGGGAAACGGGGCAGAAGUAAUAGAUGUACUUACAGACCGCGGAGCCGAAGCCAGAUUUUCUCGAUCUGUUCCGGUUGCAGGUCAUCUGGAGAGAGUUGGAAAAACGAAUUGCCAAAGAGAGAGAGGAAUGAUGCUGCAUCAAUCCUUCAUGAAUCAAAGUAAAGAAGGAUAAGUAGAAAGACAGACAGACACACAGGACAUCUGGACUGAAGACAGACACACAGGACAUCUGGACCGACCAUCCACAGUCAGCUGAUUCCAAAGCUGUUAUCUUUUACUCUAUUAGGUUGGAGAGAUUUAGUUGAACUAAGUCUUUGUUUCGCUGGGUUUUGUUUUUGUGCCCGGUGGACUUCCCAGGGAGCAUCCAGACUUACAUAUCUUGGGCCUCCAGUAAACCUUCAAGUAAUUUCCUCUGGGAUCAUCCACAUCUUUCUUCUCUCUUCUAUCACCUUGACUAUAUAUUUGAAAUUUUUAAUUUAAAAUGUUGAGGAUUUGUAGGAAAAGAAAGUAGAAUGGUGGUUGCCCAGGGUUGAGGAGGAGGGCAGGAGUCUCAGUUUGGGACGAUUUUUAAAGUUCUGAAGAUGCAUAGUGGUGAUGGUUGCACAGCAAUGUGAAUUUACUUAAUGACAUUGAAUUGUAUAUUCUAAAGGUUAAAAUAGUAAAUUUUAUGUUAUAUAUAUUUCACCACAAUAAAAAUAAAUAACUUUAAAAAGCUGAGGGGAAAGCAAUGAAUUAUUCUGAAAAUUUGCUAUAGCAACAGUGGUUAGUACACAGAAAAGACAGAACAAAAGCACAGAGAUUUACCGAUACUGUUAGGUAAACAUGAAACAAAUGAAGUGAAAUACACUAACUACGCCAGACCCCCCAAAAGAGUUUGUCUUCUAAAAAAGAAAGUUAAACACAGAUUAUUUGCUUUCAAUAAAAAAAGUACCUGCAGAAGGAAAUGUUCUCUUUGCCACUAUAAAGAACCCUCGGGGGAAUGAGGAAACGUGAUGUAACUUCUAAGAAUUUCCAGUACAUAACGGUGUGCUGACCUCAAAGCACUCUGCUCACCUGUGU